AACGAACGCUGGCGGCGCGUCUUAACCAUGCAAGUCGAGCGGCAGGCAGCAAUGCCGAGAGCGGCGGACUGGUGAGUAACACGUUGAUAACGUACCCCGAUGUCCGGGACAGCCUGUAGUAAUAGAGGGUAAUACCGGAUAGAUCACUGUUUACGUGAGGUAGACAGCGGGAAAGGAGCUUCUGCUCCGCGUCGGGAUCGGUCUGCGGUCCAUCAGCUGGACGGCGGGGUAAAGGCCCGCCGUGGCGAGGACGGGUAUCCGGCCUGAGAGGGCGGACGGAAACAUUGGAACGGAGAUACGGCCGAGACACCUACGGGAGGCAGCAGGGAAGAAUAGUCCGGAAGGGGGGGAACCCUGACGGAGCGAAGCCGCGUGAACGAAGAAGGCCGGAAGGUUGUAAAGUUCGUUUCUGUCCGAGGAAUAAGUUUCGGAGGAAAUGCCGGGACGGUGACGGUAGGGAAGGAAUAAGCACCGGCUAAUUACGUG
rnacentral:rRNA from 1 species